rnacentral:lncRNA from 1 species
ACUGUUUUAAAAUCUUAUGAUGUUAACUAAGUAUUGUUUUCCUUACUGAGUAGAUGGAACUCACCCUUUUCCAUGCCCCUAUUCAUAUGAGGAAGAUAGUGAGGAACCAAUUGCUGACCUACCCCUUGAAGUCUUUAAGGAUCCCGUGGAUCCAUAAACUUUUAUGAGUGCAUGACUUGUCUCACACUCUGAUGAGUCCAUUUAUAUAAUAAUAGAAGUAGCUCUCUUU